CUGUAUUGAGUGGAUAAUUGAAUCUGUGCUCUGUUGAUGAGAUUAACCAGAGGUAAUGCAUUGUUGUGAUGCUGUCAUCCGGAUUCUUGAGAAAUGUGCUGACACCGUUUGUUCUUUUGGCACAGGCUCAGCUGAGCCCUUCUGGCAUCGCUGCAGUGAAGCCAGUGCCUAGGAACUGGCAAAGUGUUUCCAUGGAAAUGAAUGGAGGUCUCAGAUGUAGAAAGCAAGCGCAAGGACAAGAUGGGAAGGAGAACAGGGAUUUCCAGUGAUU